AGAAAAGAAGGAAGAGGAUACCACUAUUCCUAUUGAGAAGGUUGAGAAAGACGAAGAAGCAGAGGAAAAGAAGGGUUUCCUUGAGAAAAUCAAAGAGAAACUGCCAGGACAGCAGAAGAAGGCUGAAGAGGAAACCCUACCUGCACCACCCCCAGCUGAGAAUGCUCAUGCAGAGGCAGCCUCUCAUGAAGGAGAUGCUAAGGAAAAGAAGGGUAUUUUAGAGAAGAUCAAGGAGAAGAUUCCUGGGUAUCAUCCGAAGACAGAGGAAGAGAAGAAGGAAUAGCAGUAUUUUGUGCAAAAGCAUCAAAAUGGUGAUGAUAAAUGUGUGGUGAUUUUGCUGCGUUUGUUUUAUAUGUUUUUUGGUUUUUAAUUAAGCUUGAUUAUGUGGGGAAAAAAAAAAGGCUUGAUUAUCUGUAAGGGCUUUUUUUUCUUUUUUUUGCUUGUCUGUGGGUUUGUUUAUUAUUAUGUAUGUUAUUAAAAAAGAUAUAUAAUUAUAUACUUGUGUAUUUCCUUUUCUUUAAUGAAUUAUUAUUUGUUUUAUUUUAUACUAAA
rnacentral:misc_RNA from 1 species